GAGGGGCAGCAUAACUUAGCCUGCUAAGUGGAUGGCGACCGGCGCACGGGUGAGUAACACGUAUCCACCUGCCGAUGACUCGGGGAUAGCCUUUCGAAAGAAAGAUUAAUACCCGAUGGCUCCGCAUGGUUAAAGAAUUUCGGUCAUCGAUGGGGAUGCGUUCCAUUAGGUUGUUGGCGGGGUAACGGCCCACCCAGCCUUCGAUGGAUAGGGGUUCUGAGAGGAAGGUCCCCCACAUUGGAACUGAGACACGGUCCAAACUCAAACGGGAGGCAGCAGUGAGGAAUAUUGGUCAAUGGACGAGAGUCUGAACCAGCCAAGUAGCGUGAGGGAUGACUGCCUAUGGGUUGUAAACUUCUUUUAUACGGGAAUAAGUGAGGCACGCGUGCCUUUUUGUAUGUACCGUAUGAAUAAGGAUCGGCUAACUCCGUGCCAGCAGCUGCGGUAAUACGGAGGAUCCGAGCGUUAUCCGGAUUUAUUGGGUUUAAAGGGAGCGUAGGCGGACGCUUAAGUCAGUUGUGAAAGUUUGCGGCUCAACCGUAAAAUUGCAGUUGAUACUGGGUGUCUUGAGUACAGUAGAGGCAGGCGGAAUUCGUGGUGUAGCGGUGAAAUGCUUAGAUAUCGCGAAGAACUCCGAUUGCGAAGGCAGCUUGCUGGACUGUAACUGACGCUGAUGCUC
rnacentral:rRNA from 1 species